rnacentral:misc_RNA from 1 species
AGACUAGGUGGUGGACUUGGAACUACACGGGUGGGGGGUGAAGAAGUUAAUCAGAGAUAUUCUGGGAGAGAGCUACAGCAAUCAGGAGGAUCAUUCCGAUCUGAGGAGCCAAGGGUGCGAGAAGAUCGUCACAGCGAACGGGAUAGGGAAAAAUCUCGUGAAAGAGGAAGAGACAGAGAGAGGGAACGGGAGAGAUCUCAUGAGCGCUCCCAUGACAAGCCAAGGGACCGUGACCAUAGAGAAGAUAGGCACCACAGAGAUCGUGAUAGGGAGAAGGACUGGGAGAGGGAGAGAGAACGUGGAUGGGACAGGGAUCGUGACCGGGACCGUGCACGUGGUCGUGGUCGUGAUCGUGAUCGUGAUCGAGGCCGGGACCGUGGUCGCGAGUAUGGCCGGGACCGUGACCGUGACCGUGACAGAGACAAUGGUAGGGAACAUGAUCGUGAUCGCCCUCGUGAGAGGGAUUAUGAAGUUGGUGACCAUGGUCGUGG